UACGAAGGGGGGCUAGCGUUGCUCGGAAUUACUGGGCGUAAAGCGCACGUAGGCGGAUUGUUAAGUCGGGGGGUGAAAUCCUGGAGCUCAACUCCAGAACUGCCUUCGAUACUGGCGAUCUCGAGUUCGGGAGAGGUGAGUGGAACUGCGAGUGUAGAGGUGAAAUUCGUAGAUAUGGGGGAGGAACACCGGUGGCGAAGGCGGGCCACCUGGGACGGUUACUGACGCUGAGACGCGAAAGCGUGGGGAGCAAACAGG
rnacentral:rRNA from 1 species